ACCUUUGUGGUGCAGUGGUCAGCACACUCGGCGCGUAUUCGAGAGGUCCGUGGUUCGAGUCCCGGCGAGGGCA
rnacentral:tRNA from 1 species